rnacentral:rRNA from 1 species
AUGUCGACGGCCCGUGUCUACGCGGACGUGAACGUGCGCCGCCCCAGGGAGUACUGGGACUACGAGGCCCUCUCCGUUCAAUGGGGUGAGCAGGAUGAUUAUGAGGUCGUGCGGAAAGUAGGCAGAGGGAAAUACAGUGAAGUCUUUGAAGGGAUUAACGUAACAAACGAUGAGCGAUGCGUCAUUAAAAUCCUCAAGCCUGUUAAGAAAAAGAAGAUAAAGAGGGAAAUAAAGAUUCUUCAGAACCUUUGUGGUGGUACAAAUAUUAUUAAGCUUCUUAAUGUCGUCAGAGACCAGCAAUCAAAAACUCCAAGUUUGGUAUUUGAAUAUGUAAACAGCACAGAUUUCAAAGUUCUCUAUCCAACAUUUACAGACUAUGACAUCCGGUUCUAUAUUUAUGAACUUCUUAAGGCAUUAGAUUACUGUCAUUCCCAAGGAAUUAUGCAUCGUGAUGUCAAGCCUCACAAUGUUAUGAUUGACCAUGAGCUUCGCUUGAUUGAUUGGGGACUUGCUGAGUUUUACUUUCCUGAGAAGGAGUACAACGUUCGUGUUGCUUCGAGGUAUUUUAAGGGGCCUGAAUUGCUUGUUGACUUCCAAGGGUACGACUACUCUUUGGAUAUGUGGAGCCUUGGCUGUAUGUUUGCUGGAAUGAUAUUCCGCAAGGAACCAUUCUUCUAUGGCCACGACAACCAUGACCAGCUUUUCAAAAUAGCCAAGGUGCUAGGUACAGAUGAACUUAAUGCUUAUUUGGGAAAAUACAGAAUUGUGCUUGAUCCUCAGCUAGAGGCACUGAUUGGGAGGCAUAACAGGAAACCUUGGUCUAAGUUUGUGAAUGCUGAAAAUAGGCAUCUCGUGUCCGAAGAGGCCAUCGACUUUCUUGAUAAACUUCUUCGCUUUGACCAUCAAGAUAGGCUUACAGCCGAAGAAGCCAUGGCGCAUGCCUACUUUCAUCAGGUGAGGGCAGCAGAAAACAGCAGGGGGAGAACGUAG